rnacentral:tRNA from 1 species
GCUCAGUUGGUUGAGUGGCCGACUCUUGAUUUCAACUCAGGUCAUGAUCUCAGGAUUGUGGGAUCAAGUCCCACACCAGGCU